rnacentral:rRNA from 1 species
CGCCUCCUGCAUAACCAUAUGAGGUCCAGCCUGCCCAGUGACUUAAUUAAACGGCCGCGGUAUCCUAACCGUGCGAAGGUAGCGUAAUCACUUGUUCUAUAAAUCAGGACUCGUAUGAACGGCAUCACGAAGGUUAUACUGUCUCCUUUUUCUAAUCAGUGAAAUUAAUCUCCCUGUGAAAAAGCAGGGAUAAGCUUAUAAGACGAGAAGACCCUAUGGAGCUUUAAACAUGUAAUAUUUGUUAUAAUUACAAUACCUUUUCAUAACAAUAUACUUAUAGUUUUAGGUUGGGGAGACCGCGGCGUAAAACAAAACCCCCGCGUUAAACAACUAAGAACCACAAUUCCUACACCAAUACUCUUGACAAAAUUGACCCAAAUAAUUGAGCAACGAACCAAGUUACCCUAGGGAUAACAGCGCAAUCCACUUUAAGAGCUCAUAUCGACAAGUGGGCUUACGACCUCGAUGUUGGAUCAGGGUCUCCCAGUGGUGCAGCCGCUACUAAAGGUUCGUUUGUUCAACGAUUAAAACCCU